AAUACUUUCCGAAUGCUCUGUACAUGGCUUCUACAUCUGCAUUGCUUGCUGUUUGGGGUUUCAGGCUGGGUUUCUGUAUAGCACUUUGUGACAUUGGCUGAUGUAAAAAGGGCUUCAUAAAUACAUUUGAUUGAUUAAGAUUCAAUAUAGAACCAAAAUUGGUUCCAUAUAGAACCCUGUAGGAAACCCAAGGGUUCUAUAUGGAACCAAUUUUGGUUCAGUGAAGAAGAACCCCUUGGGUUCUGAUCAAAGAACCCUACAAAAGGGUUUUAUAUAGAACCUUUAAGGGUGCCAUAUUCCUGGGUUGCCUGUUUCGUCACAAUAUUUUUUGAACGUUCAUUUUGGACUGAUGCCCGACUGAGCAUUCUACUCAAUGCAUCGUCAAUGAGUGUUGAUGAAGAUUAUAUCAAAAGUGCAUUACAGUGACUUGGAAAUACAAUGACAUUCAAAAGGAGACAAAUAAUUAGUAGGAAAACCUUUUGUCAUCAUUUUGAUGUCGCCAUAUUGACUUUAGAUGCAGUAUAACGUUAGCUAUCUAGCUAAGAUUGAGGAGAGGCCACCGGAUUUUAGCUCGCUAACGUUAGCAUUGCUAGCUAUUUGUGACAAACUUUGCUAGCUAAUGACAACAUUGCAAUCUGUAAAGUACAUUUGACGACAUGAUAAUGCUGGCAAAGUUGUUUCCUACUAAAUAUUUGACUACUUUAGUAAUGUCAUUGUAUUUCCAGGCACAGUAGUGUAAUUUAGACUAAACCGUAGUUAGCCUCUGUCCAGAGUGACUGGGUUUAUCACCACUUUAGGGCACCACUAUGGCACCGCCGAGUGACGGAGGUGCAACCUAUGAAUAUGAAGAAAGCACUACAACUCUUUUUGGUUCUAUCCAGAACAUUUUUUUCUAAGAGUUUAGAUACAAUUGAUGCACUACUUGUAUAUAAUUUACAGUGUAUAUAUAACGUGGGAUGGUUUCCCAGACCCAGAUUAAGCAUACUGCUAGACUAGAAAUCAUUUCUAAUUGAGAUUCUCCAUUGAGCAUGCUUUUUAAUCGAGGACUAGGCUUAGUCUGGGUCUGUGUCAUAGAUUAUCAUAGAUUAUCAUGUAAGAGUUUUGCUGAUCAUAACACCAAAAGGUGCAUCAUAUUUGAAGUAUUUUUGUCUGAACGUUUGCUUAUUUAUCCUGUCUUGAAUAUAUCUCCUCCUCUUUUUCAUGUGUUCAGGUUGAGGAAAAAGAAGGGAGGGAAGAGUGAUGAGGAGAAUAAGAAGGGGAAGUCUGGUGGAGGGAGGGAGAGAGAGAGGGAGACAGGAAACGACAGCUUUAAGAGCAGGGAGUUUAUCUCCAGCGAAGAGAGCUCCUCAGAGUCAGACAGAGGCAAGGGCAAACGCAAGGGUUCAGAUGAACAAGAGGAGGAGGUGGCCUCGACCCCACCCAGUUCUGACUCAGGAUCAGACUGAGGCGCGCCUGAGAGGAGAGGGAGAAAGAGAGGGAAGGACAUGGUGAGGGAAAAGAGGGCAACGUGUGGAGAGGGGUUGUGAACUCUACCGCCCUCUGUUCCUCUCUCACACGCUAAUUCUAUUCCGUUUUAAAGUACAUGAAGCAAGUAUGAAGAUAAUUCAUACCGAUGUAUUCAAAAAUAUUCUGUCCAGGAAUUGUAAAACUAUCCCUCUUAUCUCAGGAAGCAAAAUACCGUAUUUCAUUGUUUUAGCCCAGUGCAAAAAUCCCAUAACCUGACCAGUGUCAUGACUAUAUUUCCCAGCUACACAUGCAUGACACUGUCUGUCGGUUUAGGCUGUGAACAACUCAGGUAAAAACCCUUGCCUACUGUGAAAUGUAGUUUUCCAGAAUAUUACUCAAUUAAAUAUUAUAAGUAAA